GAUGAACGCUGGCGGCGUGCUUAACACAUGCAAGUCGAACGAAGCACCUCUCCCGAAGAUUGACACAGCUUGCUGUAGAUUGAUUCAUUUGAGGUGACUGAGUGGCGGACGGGUGAGUAACGCGUGGGUAACCUGCCUCAUAGAGAGGGACAACAGUUGGAAACGACUGCUAAUACCGCAUAGUAAGAAGAAUUCGCAUGUUUUCUUCUUGAAAGAUUUAUCGCUAUGAGAUGGACCCGCGUCUGAUUAGCUAGUUGGUAAGGUAACGGCUUACCAAGGCGACGAUCAGUAGCCGGCUUGAGAGAGUGAACGGCCACAUUGGGACUGAGACACGGCCCAAACUCCUACGGGAGGCAGCAGUGGGGAAUAUUGCACAAUGGGGGAAACCCUGAUGCAGCGACGCCGCGUGAGUGAAGAAGUAUUUCGGUAUGUAAAGCUCUAUCAGCAGGGAAGAUAAUGACGGUACCUGACUAAGAAGCCCCGGCUAACUACGUG
rnacentral:rRNA from 1 species